rnacentral:lncRNA from 1 species
AAAGUGACCUAACUUCAUCACUGACACAACGGAACAAAUGUCUGAGUAAACAUGUUUAGGAUCACAGCACGCAGCCAUAUUUCCCAGGUGUUGUAAAUGCAGAAGAUGUCUCAUUUCCAGGAAAUCUUUGCUUUCCAGCAUUCAGACUCCUAUGACAACAACUACGAUUCUUGUCCCAUGAGGUGUCAGCGGUCGUGCUUGUUCUGCUUUGCGGAUUGUACUUGAUUAUUAGAUAUGGAUUUCUACAAAUACGUACUGAAAGUGACAUUGGAAGAGAGGUGGUAAUGUUGCAAAAUACUUGUUUACAACCCUACUAAUCAUAGAAUAGAUAUCUUAAGCUCCUGUGGUUUGGGGUCCAUGGAUGAGAAACUGAGUACAGUCGUACCUUGGUUGUCGAAUGCCCUGGAACUCGGACGUUUUGGCUGCCGAACACCACAAACCCAGAAGAGAUUGUUCCGGUUUGCAAGCGUUCUUUUGGAACCCAAACAUCCGACAGGGCUUCUGCGGCUUCUGAUUGGCUGCAGGAGAACUCCCGUUGCUCAGUCCCUGCUCCUGCCAACCUAGCAGUUCAAAAGCACGUCAAAGUGCAAGUAGAUAAAUAGGUACCACUCCAGCGGCAAGGUAAACGGCGUUUCCGUGCGCUGCUCUCGUUCGCCAGAAGCAGCUUAGUCCAGCUGGCCACAUGACCCAGAAGCUGUACGCUGGCUCCCUCGGCCAAUAAAGCAUGAUUUGGUUUACAAACGUUUUGUGAAGUGAAAUGGACCUUCGGAACGGAUUCCAUUCGACUUCCAAGGUGCGACUGUAAUACGCAAAUGGUCAGCCACAAGUCUGCUCACCUUAUCUGAUGGGCAGUGUUGUGGCUGCGCCAUGGGCCCUGCAGUGAUCUGGCGAGGGCGCCGGGGUUUGGUUGCCUGCCGGCAAUUGGCAUGAGCAGGCAGGCUUUCCCGGGGGUGGGGGGGAGAGGUGGGCCUGACUGGUCAACCAGCGCCACCUAGGCCCACUCCUUGGGAGCUAAAUUGCAGCCCAGCUUGGCAGUCCCUCCCCUGCCCCUUUUCCCUGCCAGAUUCCCCACUGUCCCUCCCUUUAAUUUUGCUGCAGUUCAUACUACAACCUUGCUAUGGAUCACAUCGGCUGCCAUAUUUGAGGCAAGGUAGGAUUUUUUUGCUAGUGUGGUGUAGUGGUUAAGAGCAGUGGACUCAUAAUCUGGUGAACUGGGUUCGAUUCCCUGCUCCUCCACAUGCAGCUGCUGGGUGACCUUGGGCCAGUCACACUUCUCUGAAGUCUCUCAGCCCCAUUAACCUCACAGAGCGUUUGUUGUGAGGGAGGAAGGGAAAGGAGAUUGUGAGCCACUUUGAGACUCCUUAGGGUAGCGAUAAAGCGGGAUAUCAAAUCCAAACUCUUCUUCUUCAAAUGGGCACCCGCCAUUUUGUUGUUGCCUACCUCCUAGCAAUCGUCACAACUUUGUGAGGUUAGGCCUUGGUCUUGGCUGGAGGGGAGGUUGUAGCCUUUGCCUGCCCCUAAUCCACAUUUAUGCUGUCACUAAUGUCUUCUCUGAACCCAGUCACAUGCAGAGAAGGCUGGGUCUGCCACCUGAGGCUCACAUGUUCUCAUGGGUGGCCUUGCCCAGCCCAUCUCCCGUCAAAAGGUUCAAGCUUCCAAUAAUGUGUGUCAAAAAUGUGAAUUCAACAAAAACUUGCUAAUAAAGGAAUUACCUGGAAUAACACUU